CUAAUGCAAAACUGCGAAUGGCUCAUUAAAUCAGUUAUCGUUUAUUUGAUAGUACCUUUACUACACGGAUAUCUGUGGUAAUUCUAGAGUUAAUACGUGCUAAAAACCCCGACUUCGGGAGGGGUGUAUUUAUUAGACUAAAAACCCAACGCCCUUUCGGGGCUCUUUGGUGAUUCAUAAUAACUCAACGAAUCGCAUGGCCUUGAGCCGGCGAUGGUUCAUUCAAAUUUCUGCCCUAUCAACUUUCGAUGCUAGGGUAGUGGCCUAGCAUGGUGACAACGGGGUAACGGGGGAUUAGGGUUCUAUUCCGGAGAGGGGAGCCCGAGAAACGGCUACCACAUCCCAAGGAAGGCAGCAGGCGCGCAAAUUACCCAAUCCCGACACGGGGAGGUAGUGACAAUAAAUACUGAUACAGGGCUCUUUUGGGUCUUGUAAUUGGAAUGAGUACGAUUUAAACACCCUAACGAGGAACAAUUGGAGGGCAAGUCUGGUGCCAGCAGCCGCGGUAAUUCCAGCUCCAAUAGCGUAUAUUAAAGUUGUUGCAGUUAAAACGCUCGUCGUUGAACCUUGGGCCUGGGCGAUCGGUCCCCCUCACCGGGAGCACUGGUUCGGCCGGGCCUUUCCUUCUGGGGAUCCGCAUGCCCUUCACUGGGCGUGCCGGGGAACCAGGACUUUUACUUUGAAAAAAUUAGAGUGUUCAAAGCAGGCCUUUGCUCGAAUACCUUAGCAUGGAAUAAUAGAAUAGGACGUGCGGUCCUAUUUUGUUGGUUUCUAGGACCGCCGUAAUGAUUAAUAGGGUCAGUCGGGGGCAUCAGUAUUCAAUUGUCAGAGGUGAAAUUUCUUUAGAUUUAUUGAAGACUAACUACUGCGAAAGCAUUUGCCCAAAGGAUGUUUUCAUUAAUCAGUGAACGAAAGUUAGGGGAUCGAAGACGAUCAGAUACCCGUCGUAGUCCUAACCAUAAACUAUGCCGACUAGGGGAGUCGGGGGGUAUACUCCACUUUUUUGGGUUGCCUCGGCACCUUACGAGAAAUCAAAAUGUUUGGGUUCUUGGGGGGGGAGUAUAG
rnacentral:rRNA from 1 species